CAGCUCCCGGCAUGCCGCGCGGCGCUGCACUUCCGCCCUUGCGCGCCCCAAGGCGCUGGACUACAGCUCCCGGCAUGCCGCGCGGCGCUGCACUUCCGCCCUUGCGCGCCCCAAGGCGCUGGACUACAGCUCCCGGCAUGCCGCGCGGCGCGCUCCUCUCUCUGCUUUCCGGGUAGCAAAGGCGGUUUUCUGUUGUCGUCUGCCUUCUUUCGUCUCGAAGGUGCGACGCGCAGCUCGCACGGAGGUUUUCGGGAAUGAGCCGUAUCAGCGUAACGCGGGUUGAUGGCGUUGCUUUGUAGACGUCACAGAAUCGCAGAAGUGUAGGGGUCGGAAGGGACCGCUGGAGAUGAUGGAGUCGCACCCGCCGCUCCAGCAGGUUCCUUUCUGUGGCCCUCCUCCGGACACACACCAGGAAGUCCGUGUCUCUCCUGUGCUGAGGACUGGAUAUGGAGAUGAUCCCUGUCUUUUUUGAACUGAGAAGCCCAGAACUGGACACAGUAUUUCAGAUGAGGCCUCCCCAGUGCAGAGCAGGGUGGGGGGAGAACCUCCCUGGACCUGCUGGCUCUCCUCUUGUAAUGUACUCCUGGAUGCCUUUAGCCUUCUUGGCCACAAAAGCACACUGCUGACUCAUGGGCAACUUGUUGGCCACGAGGACAUCCAGGUCCUUCUCCACAAAGAUCUUUUUCAGCAGCCCAGCCCCUAAUGUGUGCUGAUGCAUGCAGGUAUUCCUCCCCAGGUGCAGAAUCCUACACUUGCCCUUGUUGAACCUCCUAAUGUUCCUCUCUGCCCGACUCUGCUCCGUGCAGCUCUCACCAAAGGGCAGCACAGCCUUCUGUGUGUCAGUCACUCCUCCCAGCUUUGUAUCAUCAGCAAACUUGCUGAGAGUGGACACUGUCCCUUCAUCCAGAUCACUAACUGUCACGGAGUUAUCUGAGUCCGUGACAAGGGGGGCACAGUAAUUCACUAAAUCCAAUGAAAUCAAGCCAAAUGAGAGAGAAGAGUACGGAAGUGAGAGGGAAGCACGUGCCCUUCUCCACAGCAAGCUGAGCCAGCCCAACGGAGGGAGAGACGGCCGCAGCCCCGGAGGUCUGCCGCACUGCCUCUCCACACCAAGUCCUCCAGGGAUGCUGCCCCUCCCCUCCCAUCAGAACACCCAAAAUGCCAAUAAGAGGCAGUAAACGGAACCAGAACGUUAACUCUUUAACUUCCACUGGUUCAUGUGAUGGUCUGAUGUGGAAUACUGACACCAAAAAUCACCAAACUGCAGCAUUAAUGAAGAUGCUGAACAAGACUGGAUGCAGUACCAACCCCUGAGGAGCACCACUCGCUGUAGACCUCCAACUCUAUAGACCUCUUCACCACUGAUGAGAACACUCUGAGCUCUAUCCACCUCCGUUCCCAGUUUACCUCACUCAUCUUUCCCACACUUCUAAGCUUACCUAUGAGGAAGUUAUGGAAAACAGUGUCAAAAGCUUUGUUGAAGUCAAGGUGUAUGACAUCCACUGCUCUCCCCCCAUCUACUCAGUCGGUGAUGACAGCAUAGAAGACUGCCAGGUUGGUCAAGCAUGAUUUCCCCUUGGUGAAUCACAGAAUCACGGAAUAUGUGAUUGGAAGGGACCUUGAAAGACCAUCUAGUCCAAUCAUCCUGCCAGAGCAGGAACAUCUAGGUUAGGUCACACAGCAAUGAGUCCAGGAAAGUUUUGAAUGUCUCCAGAGAAGGAGACCCCACAGCCUCUUGGGCAGCCUGAAAUCCAUGCUGACUACUCCUGAUAACUUUCUUUUCCAAUUGCUUGGAGAUGACAUUCAGAACAAGUUGCUUCACCUCCUUUCCAGGGAUGGAGGCCGCGUGCUGUACAAGAGGCGCUGCCACCUCCUGGCUGAGCUCUUCAGGCAGAAGCGCAGAGCACGUAUCACCUGCCAUCCCCCUGCUAGCUCAGGAGAUGCAGUUUGGAUUCAGUCGGUGCACCCUGGAUUCCUCUUGGUAGCUUGCAGAGGUUAGCUGAUCCCUGUAUGGAAGAUGCGUGGUUCCUUCAGUUUGGUCGCUCUGUUCUGUCAACUUCUUCCUACAUACGAGUGUGAAAGGAGUGUGGGCAGGAUCACUUCCAGGCUGGGGCUCCCGUUUAAUCUCUGCACUUACUUACAGAAGUCAUUUUGUUAAUAACUUCAGAGCAUGCAGAUGCGGAUAGGACACUGGAUGUCUUUACAGUAGCACCCAGAAUUCUGAGAGAGGUAUUUCGCCCUCUGGUGGCCAUAUAUGUGACUUCCAGUGUCAAAAAGGUGACGAAGGGACCUGUGCUGACUUACAGACAUGGCCUCGUUUCUGGGCAUUUUGGGGUUUCCACUCACCCCAAGGCUUAGCAGAGGAAAGGGGGUGAGGGAAGUUCAUAUAGUCUGUCCCUAGCAAGUCUCCUUUGCUGCUGAGGACAGACUGGACCUGUGUGAGAGAUGGUGUUACUGUUGUUCUCCUUGGUGCCUAAAUUCUUGGGAUUCAAGAUCUCUAGUUAAAGGUAUGAAAGAAAGCACAGGGACUUGAGUCCCAGCGUUACACCAGAAAGAGUUUUGAAGUUUUACAAAGGUAAAUAAUGCUGGUGCGAUGAUUAUGUUAUUACGAGGAGUGAGAAAACUGAGCUUCUUACCACCUUUUAUUCAAUCUAAAUGCACUAUUUUAUUCCCUUUUUAUCCAGUAAAAUACCUGAAAAUAGUCUUACUUGGAACACAGAUAAGAAACUGCUGGCGAUUACAGAUACUGUUGUGGAAUGGCUGGCAGGGCUUGGUGCACAAUAACCUUCAAUUAAAGUAAUUGAAAAUGCCCUGCGUGCAUUCUGUGAUAGAAGGCAGUAAAAAGAUGGCAGAGGUGUCAAAGCUCUCUCGCAAUGGGUACAUUUUAAAAUCAGACUCUUUAUUUUUAAACUUUUGCAUUUAUUUUGAGUUCUUUAGAUCUCCAUACAGCCAAACUUAAACCUGUGUCACUGCCUUUACCUGGUCCUUCUGGAGCAAAGCCUCCUAUUUUAUUCAGUUUGUUUCUAAGGUUGGAAAGAGGACUGGGCUUCAGCUGAGAAACAGGGCCGAGGGGCUCCUCAGGCAUGCCAGUACAGGGCCAAGCUGGGGUUGUGC
ensembl:lncRNA